UCAUUAGCGUUAUACCUGAACAAAAUGGCUUGUAAAUGUGGAUGUGGAUGUGCUUGUAAGGGCUGCGCUGGAACGGCUGCCUGCUGUGGAAAGAAAUGCUGUGAUAAGUGCAAAUGUUAGAAGACGAUUAUUAUAUUGAUGGAGAGUCAUACUGCUACUGAAUGAAAGUGGCCUCCAUGGAAUUUUAAGAAUGCAGUUCAAUUAGAUAAUUCUGACAAACUGAAACUUAUGAUUUUAUUAUCUGAUGUAGCCGAUUUAUUUUCUGAAAAUAUUACUAUUAUGUUAUAAAAAUAUAACUGUUAUUAUGUUGACAAUUUAAAAUGUUAAA